UUAUAAAUUCUUGUUACCAAAAAUUGUCAAGAUCUUAUCACAAACUUAUCAAGAUCUUAUCAAGAUUCCCGAAAAAUCUUAUAAAUUCUUGUAACCAAAAUUGCUAAUAUCUUGUCAAGAUCUUAUCAAGAUUCUUGAAAAUCUGAUAAAACUCUAGUCACCUAAAAUUCUCACAAUCUUAUCAAGAUACUGAAAGCCUUUAGCCAUUAAAGAAUAUUUAUUAAAUUAAUAAGAAUUUUGAUACUUUCAAGAUAUGUAUAUACAUUAGUUUUAAAUUAUCUUUGCAGCUUGAUCUACUAGUGAAAGCCAGUAUUUUGUAUAAAUGUAUGUGUGUGUUUUUUCACAGCAAGUUGCUUUUAGGUUGCUAAAAUUUAUUACUGACGUUACGACACAUACGGAAUGUCAAUAAAUUUUAAAGUGUAUAUAUCUUUAUACAUUACUGAUGUCACUUAUCUUACAUCAUAUAAAUUCUUGUCACAAAAAAUGUAUGUACAUCAAUUAUGAAGAAAUUUAUAUAUUUAUUUAUCCUCCAGAAAAACACCCAAAAAAUUAACCUAUUUUUUAGUUGAUAAAGGCUUUGUUUUUAUUAGGUACUUGAUGAUGGCACAAAUCUGCUGGAUGUUCCUCGGGUGCCACAUAAGUAUCCUAAAUACGCUCGAAAUUUGGCCAAGAAAUUGUGGACUGAUGAGGAAUUGUUAAAUGGCAUCAUCGAGCCACAAAAACAGUCCAAAACUGGAAAAAUCACUUUGGAUGUUCGCAAAGUUGGUUUGUUGAAAGAACUAAUAAAAGUCAUGUACCCAUCCAAAGACUUUGAAAAGAUGUGGUGCAUGUGCCGAGCAUCAGUAAAUCAGAUGGGACAGGAUAAGAAAAAGAAAAAAACUCAACAUUCCAACGAAUGAUUUUUUUCCUUUCUUUGUAUAUAAUAUAUUCAUAAAAAAUAUAGUUGUUGAA